rnacentral:rRNA from 1 species
GGUGAGUAACAGGUGGGUAAUGUACCCGGAAACAGGGGAUAACUCCUGGAAACAGGGGCUAAUACCGCAUGUGGUCCCGGGUUCCCCGGAACUCAGGAUUAAAGGUGCCUUGAGCAAUUGAGGUGCCGUUUCCGGAUCGGCCCGCCCCCGAUUAUGCUUGUUGGUAGGGUCAUGGCCUACCAAGGCUCUGAUCGGUAGCUGGCCUGAGAGGGUGGUCAGCCACAAUGGGACUGAGAUACGGCCCAUACUCCUACGGGGGGCAGCAGUCUAGAGGCUUCCGCAAUGGGGGAAACCCUGACGGAGCGACGCCGCGUGUGGGAUGGAGUCCUUCGGGAUGUAAACCACUUUCGCUGGGGAAGAAGGCCUCGAUGGUGAAUCGGGGAAUGACGGUACCCGGUAAAGAAGCCACGGCUAAGUCCGUGCCAGCAGCCGCGGUAAUACGGGCGUGGCGAGCGUUGUUCGGAUUUAUUGGGCGUAAAGCGCGCGUAGGCGGCUGUUUAAGUCCGGUGUGAAAUCUCCACCGCUUAACGGGGAGCAUGCACUGGAAACUGAACAGCUCGAGACUGUGAGAGGUAAGCGGAAUUCCUGGUGUAGCGGUGAAAUGCGUAGAUAUCAGGAAGAACACCAGUGGCGAAGGCGGCUUACUAGCGCAGUUCUGACGCUCAGGCGCGAAAGCGUGGGGAGCAAACAGGAUUAGAUACCCUGGUAGUCCACGCUGUAAACGGUGCGCACUAGGUGUGGGGGGGAUCGACCCCCCUCCGUGCCGUAGCUAACGCAUUAAGUGCGCCGCCUGGGGAGUACGGGCCGCAAGGCU